ACUAGCCUGCCUGGUACGUUUAAGUUUCUAUGAGCGACUCCUCAAACCUGCUUAGCAGGGACCCUUACAGAGUCUCUCACUGUGGUGGGGGACUGCGGGGACCCACCUUGAUUUUGUGUGGGAUCGGCUCAUCGUAAACAUCGGCUAGGCGGGCUUGUC
rnacentral:other from 3 species